GGAGACGGGGAGACAGAGAGAGAGAAAGAGAGAGAGAGAGACGGACAGGGAAAAUAAAAAGAGAGACGAGGGUUACGUAGAGGACGUUCCAGAGCAUCAGCCAGCACGGAUACACAAACAGCGCCAACAACGGGUAGAUCAGUGAACCAUAGAGAGCGUGGUCCAGGAUGCCCUGAGAGAUGACGGACAGGAAGAGCACGCAGCACUCGGGCAGCGUCACCGGCGCUUCCUGGAGGUCCUGGAAGAGGAAGAUGCAGUAGAAAAGUGUGCAGCCUGGACUGAGCAGCACCAUCGCCAAGGCACCCAAAGACCUGAGACACAGACACAAAAAUGACACAAGCGCCAAGCCUGCAGUGUAGAUGGCGAUGGCCGUGAGAACCACAGCCUCGGUCUCAGACACGGGGAAGUGUUCUACUGCCGUUUCCUGAGACAGGACGGGGAGCGUGUACAGAGCCACGCCCGUCAGGUGACUGAUCACUAUCGGGGUCAGCACGGAAAGGACACCUGGACUAGACGGC